CUUUCUUGUGUUCUACCUGUUUCAAAUGCUGAGAGUGAGUGAAAGUUCUGAAAUUCAGUGAUGAUGCUUGCCAGUCAAGUGUAAUCAGAUUAAGGACAUAAUCCUUCAGGCUUCCAACAAAGCCUUAGCUAAAUUUUUACGUAACAAGUAAAGUGUAAGCGAUCUCUGGUUUAAAAAGAUAAUGAUUAAUCGGAAUGGGAACGUGAAAAUUGAGAGAAUGAUGUCUUAAAACAGUCCCUCCAAAAAAGUUGGAAAUUAGAAGUGGAAAGAAGUCAGAAAACCGCAGUGGAGAGUUACCAGAAUUUAGAAAAUUUACUAUUUCAGCUAUAUCCCCUUUUUUAAUGGUAAACAUAAAUUUUGCUAAUGGUAAAAAUCUUAUGU
rnacentral:lncRNA from 1 species